GAUGAACGCUAGCGGCAGGCUUAAUACAUGCAAGUUGAGGGGCAGCAUGAUAUACGCGAGUAUAUUGAUGGCGACCGGCGGACGGGUGAGUAAUAGGUAGGAGACCUACCUCAUACAGGGGGAUAGCAUAGAGAAAUCUGUGGUAAUACCCCAUGAGGUUAUAUGAAUAGAGGCAUAUAAUCAAAGCAUAAGCGAUUAUGCGGUAUGAGAGGGGCCUACUGACCAUUAGCUAGUUGGUGAGGUAAGGGCUCACCAAGGCGAAGAUGGUUAGGGGUUUUGAGAGAGAGACCCCCCACAUUGGAACUGAGAGACGGUCCAGACUCCUACGGGAGGCAGCAGUAGGGAAUAUUGGGCAAUGGGCGAAAGCCUGACCCAGCCAUGCCGCGUGAAGGAAGACGGCCUUAUGGGUUGUAAACUUCUUUACUACGCGAAUAGAGGUUAGUACGAGAUACUAAUAGGAAGGUAGUGUAGUAAAAAGCAACCGGCUAAACUCCGUGACC
rnacentral:rRNA from 1 species